rnacentral:rRNA from 1 species
CAGCAGCCGCGGGAAUACGUAGGGUGCGAGCGUUAAUCGGAAUUACUGGGCGUAAAGCGUGCGCGGGCGGUUAUAUAAGACAGAUGUGAAAUCCCCGGGCUCAACCUGGGACCUGCAUUUGUGACUGUAUAGCUAGAGUACGGUAGAGGGGGAUGGAAUUCCGCGUGUAGCAGUGAAAUGCGUAGAUAUGCGGAGGAACACCGAUGGCGAAGGCAAUCCCCUGGACCUGUACUGACGCUCAUGCACGAAAGCGUGGGGAGCAAACAGGAUUAGAUACCCCCGUAGUCCCUGUCUCUUAUAC